CCUACGGGAGGCAGCAGUAGGGAAUCUUCCACAAUGGACGAAAGCCUGAUGGAGCAACGCCGCGUGAGUGAAGAAGGGUUUCGGCUCGUAAAGCCCUGUUGGUAGUGAAGAAAGAUAGAGGUAGUAACUGGCCUUUAUUUGACGGUAAUUACUUAGAAAGUCACGGCUAACUACGUGCCAGCAGCCGCGGUAAUACGUAGGUGACAAGCGUUGUCCGGAUUUAUUGGGCGUAAAGCGAGCGCAGGCGGUUCAAUAAGUCUGAUGUGAAAGCCUUCGGCUCAACCGGAGAAUUGCAUCAGAAACUGGCGAACUAGAGUGCGGAAGAGGAGAGUGGAACUCCAGGUGUAGCGGUGGAAUGCGUAGAUAUAAGGAAGAACACCAGUGGCGAAAGCGGCUCUCUGGUCUGUAAUUGACGCUGAGGAUCGAAAGCAUGGGUAGCGAACAGGAUUAGAUACCCGAGUAGUC
rnacentral:rRNA from 1 species